rnacentral:rRNA from 1 species
UACGUAGGGGGCUAGCGUUGUCCGGAAUCAUUGGGCGUAAAGAGCGUGUAGGCGGCCCGGUAAGUCCGCUGUAAAAGUCAAAGGCUCAACCUUUGAAUGUCAGUGGAUACUGCCGGGCUAGAGUCCGGAAGAGGCGAGUGGAACUCCUGGUGUAGCGGUGGAAUGCGCAGAUAUCAGGAAGGAACACCAACUGGCGAAGGCAGCUCGCUGGGACGUACUGACGCUGAGACGCGAAAGCGUGGGGAGCGAAACAGG